rnacentral:tRNA from 1 species
GGGCUUAUAGCUCAGGUGGUUAGAGCAUUACACUGAUAAUGUAAAGGUCCGUGGUUCGAGUCCACGUAAGCCCACGA